rnacentral:rRNA from 1 species
AUUGAACGCUGGCGGCAUGCUUUACACAUGCAAGUCGAACGGUAACAGGUUAAGCUGACGAGUGGCGAACGGGUGAGUAAUGCAUCGGAACGUGCCCGGUCGUGGGGGAUAACGCAGCGAAAGCUGCGCUAAUACCGCAUACGAUCUAAGGAUGAAAGCGGGGGACCGUAAGGCCUCGCGCGAUCGGAGCGGCCGAUGUCAGAUUAGGUAGUUGGUGGGGUAAAGGCCACCCAAGCCAACGAUCUGUAGCUGGUCUGAGAGGACGACCAGCCACACUGGGACUGAGACACGGCCCAGACUCCUACGGGAGGCAGCAGUGGGGAAUUUUGGACAAUGGGCGAAAGCCUGAUCCAGCAAUGCCGCGUGCAGGAAGAAGGCCUUCGGGUUGUAAACUGCUUUUGUACGGAGCGAAAAGGUCUCCUCUAAUACAGGGGGCUCAUGACGGUACCGUAAGAAUAAGCACCGGCUAACUACGUGCCAGCCGCCGCAGUAA